rnacentral:rRNA from 1 species
GACGAACGCUGGCGGCGUGCUUAACACAUGCAAGUCGAACGGAAAGGCCCUGCUUUUGUGGGGUGCUCGAGUGGCGAACGGGUGAGUAACACGUGAGUAACCUGCCCUUGACUUUGGGAUAACUUCAGGAAACUGGGGCUAAUACCGGAUAGGAGCUCCUGCUGCAUGGUGGGGGUUGGAAAGUUUCGGCGGUUGGGGAUGGACUCGCGGCUUAUCAGCUUGUUGGUGGGGUAGUGGCUUACCAAGGCUUUGACGGGUAGCCGGCCUGAGAGGGUGACCGGCCACAUUGGGACUGAGAUACGGCCCAGACUCCUACGGGAGGCAGCAGUGGGGAAUAUUGCACAAUGGGCGGAAGCCUGAUGCAGCAACGCCGCGUGCGGGAUGACGGCCUUCGGGUUGUAAACCGCUUUCGCCUGUGACGAAGCGUGAGUGACGGUAAUGGGUAAAGAAGCACCGGCUAACUACGUGCCAGCAGCCGCGGUGACACGUAGGGCGCGAGCGUUGUCCGGAUUUAUUGGGCGUAAAGGGCUCGUAGGUGGUUGAUCGCGUCGGAAGUGUAAUCUUGGGGCUUAACCCUGAGCGUGCUUUCGAUACGGGUUGACUUGAGGAAGGUAGGGGAGAAUGGAAUUCCUGGUGGAGCGGUGGAAUGCGCAGAUAUCAGGAGGAACACCAGUGGCGAAGGCGGUUCUCUGGGCCUUUCCUGACGCUGAGGAGCGAAAGCGUGGGGAGCGAACAGGCUUAGAUACCCUGGUAGUCCACGCUGUAAACGGUGGGUACUAGGUGUGGGGUCCAUUCCACGGGUUCCGUGCCGUAGCUAACGCUUUAAGUACCCCGCCUGGGGAGUACGGCCGCAAGGCUAAAACUCAAAGGAAUUGACGGGGCCCCGCACAAGCGGCGGAGCAUGCGGAUUAAUUCGAUGCAACGCGUAGAACCUUACCUGGGUUUGACAUGGAUCGGGAGCGCUCAGAGAUGGGUGUGCCUCUUUUGGGGUCGGUUCACAGGUGGUGCAUGGCUGUCGUCAGCUCGUGUCGUGAGAUGUUGGGUUAAGUCCCGCAACGAGCGCAACCCUUGUUCACUGUUGCCAGCACGUUAUGGUGGGGACUCAGUGGAGACCGCCGGGGUCAACUCGGAGGAAGGUGGGGAUGACGUCAAGUCAUCAUGCCCCUUAUGUCCAGGGCUUCACGCAUGCUACAAUGGCUGGUACAGAGAGUGGCGAGCCUGUGAGGGUGAGCGAAUCUCGGAAAGCCGGUCUCAGUUCGGAUUGGGGUCUGCAACUCGACCUCAUGAAGUCGGAGUCGCUAGUAAUCGCAGAUCAGCAACGCUGCGGUGAAUACGUUCCCGGG